AUUGAACGCUGGCGGCAGGCCUAACACAUGCAAGUCGAACGGUAACAGGAAGCAGCUUGCUGCUUUGCUGACGAGUGGCGGCCGGGUGGGAAAUGUCUGGGAAACUGCCUGAUGGAGGGGGAUAACUACUGGAAACGGUAGCUAAUACCGCAUAACGUCGAAAGACCAAAGAGGGGGACCUUCGGGCCUCUUGCCAUCGGAUGUGCCCAGAUGGGAUUAGCUAGUAGGUGGGGUAACGGCUCACCUAGGCGACGAUCCCUAGCUGGUCUGAGAGGAUGACCAGCCACACUGGAACUGAGACACGGUCCAGACUCCUACGGGAGGCAGCAGUGGGGAAUAUUGCACAAUGGGCGCAAGCCUGAUGCAGCCAUGCCGCGUGUAUGAAGAAGGCCUUCGGGUUGUAAAGUACUUUCAGCGGGGAGGAAGGGAGUAAAGUUAAUACCUUUGCUCAUUGACGUUACCCGCAGAAGAAGCACCGGCUAACUCCGUG
rnacentral:rRNA from 1 species